UGGUCUUUAUCUAUAUGACAAGGGUGUUUGAUGAAUAUCUAUAAUUUUUAUUGAUUUUUUUUUAUUUCAGGAUUCUCCUUCUGGCCAGUGUGAGGCUAAGCGAGAGAAAUGCCCAGCAAAGAUCAUAUUGAAGGAAGUAAUCAAGUUCCCACAUUAUAAGAUUGAAUCUAAUACCAAUUAUGAAAAGAAGAAAUGGUCAAAGUUGGUAAGAGAUGACCUCUGUAAAGGAACUGCAAAAACAGAACGCCGUAUAUAUGUAGAAUUA